GAUGGUUACGAAUUGGAAUUCGAUCCUGACGGCCGUGAAGGUUUCCCCGACGACAAGGCGUACCAAGACUUCCGCGACUAUAAAACCAAGGCCUUUAAGAAUAGGGGGUUUUUUGAAGAUCCAUUCAGAUCCAUCUACCCGAUUAUAGAUCUGGAAGAUCUUUGGUCAGACACGA